rnacentral:rRNA from 1 species
GAUGAACGCUGGCGGCGUGCCUAAUACAUGCAAGUCGAGCGGUAAGGCCCUUCGGGGUACACGAGCGGCGGACGGCUGAGUAACACGUAGGAACAUACCCCAAAGUGAGGGAUAAGCACCAGAAAUGGUGUCUAAUACCGCAUGUGCUCUAAGGAGUAAAGCUUCGGCGCUUUGGGAAUGGCCUGCGUCCGAUUAGCUUGUUGGUGAGGUAAUAGCUCACCAAGGCGACGAUCGGUAGCUGGUCUGAGAGGAUGAUCAGCCAGACUGGGACUGAGACACGGCCCAGACUCCUACGGGAGGCAGCAGUAGGGAAUUUUCCACAAUGGGCGAAAGCCUGAUGGAGCAACGCCGCGUGCAGGAUGAAGGCCUCAGGGUUGUAAACUGCUUUUAUAUGUGACGAUUAUGACGGUAGCAUAUGAAUAAGGAUCGGCUAACUCCGUGCCAGCCGCCGCUGUAA